AGUGAACGCUGGCGGCGUGCCUAAUACAUGCAAGUCGAACGAUGAAGUCCUAGCUUGCUAGGUUGGAUUAGUGGCGCACGGGUGAGUAAUAUAUAGUUAAUCUGCCCUACACAGAGGAACAACAGUUGGAAACGACUGCUAAUACCUCAUACUCUUAUUUGACAUACGUUAAUCAGGGAAAGUAUUUUCGGUGUAGGAUGGGACUAUAUCGUAUCAGCUAGUUGGUAAGGUAAUGGCUUACCAAGGCUAUGACGCGUAACUGGUCAGAGAGGAUGAUCAGUCACAUUGGAACUGAGACACGGUCCAGACUCCUACGGGAGGCAGCAGUAAGGAAUAGUGCGAAAUGGGGGUAACCCUGACGCAGCAACGGCGCGUGGAGGACGACACUUUUCGGAGCGUAAACUCCUUUGAUCAGGAAAGAAUAAUGACGGUACCUGAUGAAUAAGCACCGGCUAACUCCGUG
rnacentral:rRNA from 1 species